rnacentral:rRNA from 1 species
UGGGGGAUAUUGCACAAUGGGCGAAAGCCUGAUGCAGCGACGCCGCGUGGGGGAUGAAGGCCUUCGGGUUGUAAACUUCUUUUGCUCUGAACAAGGCAUGCUAAUGGGUGUGUUGAGUGUAGGGGUUGAUUAGCGCCGGCUAACUACGUGCCAGCAGCCGCGGUAAUACGUAGGGCGCGAGCGUUGUCCGGAAUUAUUGGGCGUAAAGGGCUUCUAGGUGGCUGGUUGCGUCUGUCGUGAAAGCUCAUGGCUUAACUGUGGGUUUGCGGUGGGUACGGGCUGGCUUGAGUGCAGUAGGGGAGGGUGGAAUUCCUGGUGUAGCGGUGGAAUGCGCAGAUAUCAGGAGGAAUACCGGUGGCGAAGGCGGGUCUCUGGGCUGUGACUGACACUGAGGAGCGAAAGCAUGGGGAGCGAACAGG